AGACCAUGAUGAGGGCAUUUUCUUAAUAGCUCCUUGAAUCUUUCCCAAGUUUCAUAUAAGGAUUCCCGUCCUCUUAUGAGUAU
rnacentral:snoRNA from 1 species